GUACUGGCUGGGAAUCCACCGAGCUGUCGCGCCCAGCCCUUCCGGCGCGCGGGAGCUCGCCCGCUGGGCUUCUUUUGGGAUGGAUCCCGGGCGCAGCUGGGGAAAAACCCGUCCGUUGGUAGGGGUGGGGGGCGGAGAGGGAGGGACGCGCCUUCCUACAGGUUGUUUUGCAAGGCUUUAAAGGGAUAUGGGGGGUGGGGAACUGCCCCUCCUGCACACUCACCCAGGCACCUGCUGACGAGGGGGAGGGGUGGCUGGGGUGGCGUCCUUUCCCACCGUCAGGCCGGUUCCAUUAGAGCGCAACCCAGAUCAGACCCGACAAGUCAACCGUCAACCGUCAGCCAGGCGUUCGAUCAAUGGCAAUGAUUUUAUAGCAUCCUUGGGUAUGGUGCCCCAAACCCCAGGGGCCGCAUCUCAAUCCCACUCAACUCUGGACGGACAGGGUCUUCAAUCCUAUAGACAUCGCUCUCGUGGGAGAAGGGGGCAGUGGCCAUGGAUCUUGAGGGUCACUCUCUCAACCAGUCUGAGAGUGUGGGGUGAGAGAGCAUGCAGCUACAACCCUGAAAUCCACCCAAAAGAAUCAUUACCGGGAAAACAAGCUAAAAAUAACCCCAAAGGAAGCAGUGCCAGCUCAGAGGCAGUUCUUUGGAGGUGGGGGGUGUCCAAGAACUGUUCUGUUGCUUCUGGAGUAAUAAAGUCGAAUUCUUAAAUCUGGAAUUGCUUUGGGAAGUCGGCCCUGUCUCCCUGGCCCCACAC
rnacentral:lncRNA from 1 species